CCUACGGGGGGCAGCAGUGAGGAAUAUUGGUCAAUGGACGAGAGCCUGAACCAGCCAAGUAGCGUGAAGGAUGACUGCUCUAUGGGUUGUAAACUUCUUUUAUAAAGGAAUAAAAUGAGGCACGUGUGCCUUUUUGUAUGUACUUUAUGAAUAAGGAUCGGCUAACUCCGUGCCAGCAGCCGCGGUAAUACGGAGGAUCCGAGCGUUAUCCGGAUUUAUUGGGUUUAAAGGGAGCGUAGAUGGGUUGUUAAGUCAGUUGUGAAAGUUUGUGGCUCAACCGUAAAAUUGCAAUUGAUACUGGCAGUCUUGAGUACAGUUGAGGUAGGCGGAAUUCGUGGUGUAGCGGUGAAAUGCUUAGAUAUCACGAAGAACCCCGAUUGCGAAGGCAGCUUACUAAACUGUAACUGACAUUGAUGCUCGAAAGUGUGGGGAUCAAACAGGAUUAGAUACCCUUGUAGUC
rnacentral:rRNA from 1 species